rnacentral:misc_RNA from 1 species
AACAUCUCAACUCCUCACGGUUCGCCCGUGAUGAGCUUGGACUUUGGGGGUCUUGCCGGCCUGCAGGUCGGCUCCUCUCAAAUGAAUCAGCUUGCCGGUGUUUGGUGGCGUCACAGGUGUGAUAACUAUCUACGCUUGUGGUUUUCCGCCAGGUAACCUCCAGCAAUGGGGGUUCACUGGAGCUCACAGACGUCUCUCCUCGGUGAGGACAGCUCUUUGAAC